AUUGAACGCUGGCGGCAUGCCUUACACAUGCAAGUCGAACGGUAACAGGUUAAGCUGACGAGUGGCGAACGGGUGAGUAAUACAUCGGAACGUGCCCAGUAGUGGGGGAUAGCCCGGCGAAAGCCGGAUUAAUACCGCAUACGACCUAAGGGUGAAAGGGGGGGAUCGCAAGACCUCUCGCUAUUGGAGCGGCCGAUGUCAGAUUAGCUAGUUGGUGGGGUAAAAGCUCACCAAGGCGACGAUCUGUAGCUGGUUUGAGAGGACGACCAGCCACACUGGGACUGAGACACGGCCCAGACUCCUACGGGAGGCAGCAGUGGGGAAUUUUGGACAAUGGGCGCAAGCCUGAUCCAGCCAUGCCGCGUGCGGGAAGAAGGCCUUCGGGUUGUAAACCGCUUUUGUCAGGGAAGAAAUCCUUUGGGUUAAUACCUCGGGGGGAUGACGGUACCUGAAGAAUAAGCACCGGCUAACUACGUG
rnacentral:rRNA from 1 species